GACGAACGCUGGCGGCGUGUCUAAUACAUGCAAGUCGAACGCAGUGGGGACGGGUGAGUAACACGUGGGUAACCUCCCAUCAGAGGGGAUAACACUUGGAAACAGGUGCUAAUCCGUUACUGGUGGAUGGACCCGCGGUGCAUUAGCUAGUUGGUGAGGUAACGGCUCACCAAGGCCACGAUGCAUAGCCGGCCUGAGAGGGGGAUCGGCCACACUGGGACUGAGACACGGUCCAGACUCCUACGGGAGGCAGCAGUGGGGAAUCUUCGGCAAUGGACGAAAGUCUGACCGAGCAACGCCGCGUGAGUGAAGAAGGUUUUCGGAUCGUAAAGCUCUGUUGGUAGAGAAGCGGUAUCUAACCAGAAAGCCACGGCUAACUACGUGCCAGCAGCCGCGGUAAUUC
rnacentral:rRNA from 1 species